UCGUCAGGUGGGAUAAUCCUUACCCGUUCCUCCUUUGGAGGGGAGAUAAAACAUGAUGAUUGGAGAUGCAUGAAACAUAAAAAAAGUAUUUAAAAAAGUAAAAAGAAAAAAAGAAAAAAAAUCAGUCUCAU